UACAGAGGGGGCAAGCGUUGUUCGGAAUUACUGGGCGUAAAGGGCGCGUAGGCGGCCUUCUAAGUCGAACGUGAAAUCCCUCGGCUUAACCGGGGAACUGCGUCCGAUACUGGAUGGCUUGAGUUCGGGAGAGGGAUGCGGAAUUCCAGGUGUAGCGGUGAAAUGCGUAGAUAUCUGGAGGAACACCGGUGGCGAAGGCGGCAUCCUGGACCGACACUGACGCUGAGGAGCGAAAGCCAGGGGAGCAAACGGG
rnacentral:rRNA from 1 species